rnacentral:misc_RNA from 1 species
UCUCCGUUGGUGAACCAGCGGAGGGAUCAUUGCUGGAACGCGCCUCGGCGCACCCAGAAACCCUUUGUGAACUUAUACCUUACUGUUGCCUCGGCGCAGGCCGGCCCCCUUCUGGGGGCCCCUCGUUCCUGACGAGGAGCAGGCUCGCCGGCGGCCAAGUUAACUCUUGUUUUUAUUGUGAAACUCUGAGAAUAAAACAUAAAUGAAUCAAAACUUUCAACAACGGAUCUCUUGGUUCUGGCAUCGAUGAAGAACGCAGC